rnacentral:rRNA from 1 species
ACGGAGGGUGCAAGCGUUAUCCGGAUUUAUUGGGUUUAAAGGGUCCGUAGGCGGAUCUGUAAGUCAGUGGUGAAAUCUCACAGCUUAACUGUGAAACUGCCAUUGAUACUGCAGGUCUUGAGUAAAUUUGAAGUGGCUGGAAUAAGUAGUGUAGCGGUGAAAUGCAUAGAUAUUACUUAGAACACCAAUUGCGAAGGCAGGUCACUAAGAUUUAACUGACGCUGAUGGACGAAAGCGUGGGGAGCGAACAG